rnacentral:misc_RNA from 1 species
GUAGGUGAACCUGCGGAAGGAUCAUUACCGAAGUACAGGCCCUCUCGAGGGCUAAACUUCCACCCUUUGUUUAUUAUACUAUGUUGCUUUGGCGGAUCGCCCUUGGGCCACCGGCUUCGGCUGGUGCGUGUCCGCCAGAGACCUCAAACCCAAACCAUUAUACGUAAUUGUCUGAAAACAAGUUUAAAUUAUUAAAACUUUCAACAACGGAUCUCUUGGCUCUG